GGGCCGGGGCCGGGGCCGUCUAGUUGGUCGGAGACGGUCAUGCGACCAGGCUGAAAUAGGAGGUCAGAUCGAGGUUCAGGAGGAGGAGAAACAGCAGCCCGAGGAGGAGCAGUCGCAUCAGCGUGCAGUAGCCCAACCUUGUGAGCAACUCCCAUCAAUGUCAGCGGCAGCGGCAGCCGGCUUGAUCAAGCUCAAAGAGGUGAAACAGCAGCCUAGCUGAAGGGUACGGCUGUCAAAAAAGUCCAAGCUCGUCACACUGUUCGAGUUAGGUUUGUUUGGGCUCGGCUCGAGGCCUAACAAGCCUACGAGAGCGGGUUUAAUCGUCUGUGCUGACUGAUAAUUCGAACUUGUUAACUAGGAGCAGCUCAUCUGGUGAUCACAGCCGCUUCUUGUAUGUGUGUGUCUGCUCUGGUUUGAUGUUGGAUUAGAACAUCUGAUAUACACGUAGCAUGCAUGAAGACUAUCUAUUAUGCUGAUUAAAUGACUGUAGCAAACAUUUUCUCGGUUCAGUUU